GCCCGGAAAGUAGGGCUCAUGGUAAGAUUGAAAAUCCGCGUGUCGGUGGUUCAAAUCCGCCUCCGGGCACCA
rnacentral:tRNA from 1 species